UUAAGCGACUAAGCGUACACGGUGGAUGCCCUGGCAGUCAGAGGCGAUGAAGGACGUGCUAAUCUGCGAUAAGCGUCGGUAAGGUGAUAUGAACCGUUAUAACCGGCGAUUUCCGAAUGGGGAAACCCAGUGUGAUUCGUCACACUAUCAUUAACUGAAUCCAUAGGUUAAUGAGGCGAACCGGGGGAACUGAAACAUCUAAGUACCCCGAGGAAAAGAAAUCAACCGAGAUUCCCCCAGUAGCGGCGAGCGAACGGGGAGCAGCCCAGAGCCUGAAUCAGUGUGUGUGUUAGUGGAAGCGUCUGGAAAGGCGCGCGAUACAGGGUGACAGCCCCGUACACAAAAAUGCACAUGCUGUGAGCUCGAUGAGUAGGGCGGGACACGUGGUAUCCUGUCUGAAUAUGGGGGGACCAUCCUCCAAGGCUAAAUACUCCUGACUGACCGAUAGUGAACCAGUACCGUGAGGGAAAGGCGAAAAGAACCCCGGCGAGGGGAGUGAAAAAGAACCUGAAACCGUGUACGUACAAGCAGUGGGAGCACGCUUAGGCGUGUGACUGCGUACCUUUUGUAUAAUGGGUCAGCGACUUAUAUUCUGUAGCAAGGUUAACCGAAUAGGGGAGCCGAAGGGAAACCGAGUCUUAACUGGGCGUUAAGUUGCAGGGUAUAGACCCGAAACCCGGUGAUCUAGCCAUGGGCAGGUUGAAGGUUGGGUAACACUAACUGGAGGACCGAACCGACUAAUGUUGAAAAAUUAGCGGAUGACUUGUGGCUGGGGGUGAAAGGCCAAUCAAACCGGGAGAUAGCUGGUUCUCCCCGAAAGCUAUUUAGGUAGCGCCUCGUGAAUUCAUCUCCGGGGGUAGAGCACUGUUUCGGCAAGGGGGUCAUCCCGACUUACCAACCCGAUGCAAACUGCGAAUACCGGAGAAUGUUAUCACGGGAGACACACGGCGGGUGCUAACGUCCGUCGUGAAGAGGGAAACAACCCAGACCGCCAGCUAAGGUCCCAAAGUCAUGGUUAAGUGGGAAACGAUGUGGGAAGGCCCAGACAGCCAGGAUGUUGGCUUAGAAGCAGCCAUCAUUUAAAGAAAGCGUAAUAGCUCACUGGUCGAGUCGGCCUGCGCGGAAGAUGUAACGGGGCUAAACCAUGCACCGAAGCUGCGGCAGCGACACUAUGUGUUGUUGGGUAGGGGAGCGUUCUGUAAGCCUGUGAAGGUGUACUGUGAGGUAUGCUGGAGGUAUCAGAAGUGCGAAUGCUGACAUAAGUAACGAUAAAGCGGGUGAAAAGCCCGCUCGCCGGAAGACCAAGGGUUCCUGUCCAACGUUAAUCGGGGCAGGGUGAGUCGACCCCUAAGGCGAGGCCGAAAGGCGUAGUCGAUGGGAAACAGGUUAAUAUUCCUGUACUUGGUGUUACUGCGAAGGGGGGACGGAGAAGGCUAUGUUGGCCGGGCGACGGUUGUCCCGGUUUAAGCGUGUAGGCUGGUUUUCCAGGCAAAUCCGGAAAAUCAAGGCUGAGGCGUGAUGACGAGGCACUACGGUGCUGAAGCAACAAAUGCCCUGCUUCCAGGAAAAGCCUCUAAGCAUCAGGUAACAUCAAAUCGUACCCCAAACCGACACAGGUGGUCAGGUAGAGAAUACCAAGGCGCUUGAGAGAACUCGGGUGAAGGAACUAGGCAAAAUGGUGCCGUAACUUCGGGAGAAGGCACGCUGAUAUGUAGGUGAAGUCCCUCGCGGAUGGAGCUGAAAUCAGUCGAAGAUACCAGCUGGCUGCAACUGUUUAUUAAAAACACAGCACUGUGCAAACACGAAAGUGGACGUAUACGGUGUGACGCCUGCCCGGUGCCGGAAGGUUAAUUGAUGGGGUUAGCGCAAGCGAAGCUCUUGAUCGAAGCCCCGGUAAACGGCGGCCGUAACUAUAACGGUCCUAAGGUAGCGAAAUUCCUUGUCGGGUAAGUUCCGACCUGCACGAAUGGCGUAAUGAUGGCCAGGCUGUCUCCACCCGAGACUCAGUGAAAUUGAACUCGCUGUGAAGAUGCAGUGUACCCGCGGCAAGACGGAAAGACCCCGUGAACCUUUACUAUAGCUUGACACUGAACAUUGAGCCUUGAUGUGUAGGAUAGGUGGGAGGCUUUGAAGUGUGGACGCCAGUCUGCAUGGAGCCGACCUUGAAAUACCACCCUUUAAUGUUUGAUGUUCUAACGUUGACCCGUAAUCCGGGUUGCGGACAGUGUCUGGUGGGUAGUUUGACUGGGGCGGUCUCCUCCUAAAGAGUAACGGAGGAGCACGAAGGUUGGCUAAUCCUGGUCGGACAUCAGGAGGUUAGUGCAAUGGCAUAAGCCAGCUUGACUGCGAGCGUGACGGCGCGAGCAGGUGCGAAAGCAGGUCAUAGUGAUCCGGUGGUUCUGAAUGGAAGGGCCAUCGCUCAACGGAUAAAAGGUACUCCGGGGAUAACAGGCUGAUACCGCCCAAGAGUUCAUAUCGACGGCGGUGUUUGGCACCUCGAUGUCGGCUCAUCACAUCCUGGGGCUGAAGUAGGUCCCAAGGGUAUGGCUGUUCGCCAUUUAAAGUGGUACGCGAGCUGGGUUUAGAACGUCGUGAGACAGUUCGGUCCCUAUCUGCCGUGGGCGCUGGAGAACUGAGGGGGGCUGCUCCUAGUACGAGAGGACCGGAGUGGACGCAUCACUGGUGUUCGGGUUGUCAUGCCAAUGGCACUGCCCGGUAGCUAAAUGCGGAAGAGAUAAGUGCUGAAAGCAUCUAAGCACGAAACUUGCCCCGAGAUGAGUUCUCCCUGACUCCUUGAGAGUCCUGAAGGAACGUUGAAGACGACGACGUUGAUAGGCCGGGUGUGUAAGCGCAGCGAUGCGUUGAGCUAACCGGUACUAAUGAACCGUGAGGCUUAACCU
rnacentral:rRNA from 1 species